rnacentral:rRNA from 1 species
AGCAUAUCAAUAAGCGGAGGAAAAAGAAACCAACCGGGAUUGCCUCAGUAACGGCGAGUGAAGCGGCAAGAGCUCAAAUUUGAAAGCUGGCCCCUUCGGGGUCCGCGUUGUAAUUUGCAGAGGAUGCUUCGGGUGCGGCCCCUGUCUAAGUGCCCUGGAACGGGCCGUCAGAGAGGGUGAGAAUCCCGUCUUGGGCAGGGUGCCCGUGCCCGUGUGAAGCUCCUUCGACGAGUCGAGUUGUUUGGGAAUGCAGCUCUAAAUGGGUGGUAAAUUUCAUCUAAAGCUAAAUACCGGCCGGAGACCGAUAGCGCACAAGUAGAGUGAUCGAAAGAUGAAAAGCACUUUGAAAAGAGAGUUAAACAGCACGUGAAAUUGUUGAAAGGGAAGCGCUUGCGACCAGACUCGGCCCCGGGGUUCAGCCAGCACUCGUGCUGGUGUACUUCCCCGGGGGCGGGCCAGCGUCGGUUUGGGCGGCCGGUCAAAGGCCCCAGGAAUGUAUCGCCCUCCGGGGUUGUCUUAUAGCCUGGGGUGCAAUGCGGCCAGCCCGGACCGAGGAACGCGCUUCGGCACGGACGCUGGCGUAAUGGUCGCAAACGACCCGUCUUGAAACACGGACCAAGGAGUCUAACAUCUACGCGAGUGUUCGGGUGUCAAACCCGUACGCGCAGUGAAAGCGAACGGAGGUGGGAGCCCCCCCGGGGCGCACCAUCGACCGAUCCUGAUGUCUUCGGAUGGAUUUGAGUAAGAGCGUAGCUGUGGGGACCCGAAAGAUGGUGAACUAUGCCUGAAUAGGGCGAAGCCAGAGGAAACUCUGGUGGAGGCUCGCAGCGGUUCUGACGUGCAAAUCGAUCGUCAAAUUUGGGUAUAGGGGCGAAGACUAAUCGAACCUUCCGGUAGCUGGUU